GUUUAUUGAUAUAGUGUGAAUAAUAUGCGACCAUCAAUGAAAUAUUAUAGUGUGAUUAAAGGAGUUUAAAAAGUCAUUUACUCUAAUUACAGCUAGUUAGUCCUGUAAUCUUCUGAGGAGAUCAGAUCCUCGCUGGAUGAGUUGAGAAUGACAUGAAACUACAUCUGCUGAUCUUUAGUACACUAUUAUUGAUCUGUUCACUACACACCAGCACACACAAACAAUGUAUGUAUAUAUAUAUUCAUUAACGUACACUGAAAAAGCCUACUUUUUAAGGUAAGUGGAUGCUGGUAAGUUAUUUUAGCUAUAUGUGAACUCAUUUAGUUGAUUUACUUUCCCCAAGAUUUGUUUAUUUAAAUGUGACCCGAAUAAAUUGACUGCAACCACUUACCUUAGGAAAUAAUGUCGUUUUUCACUGUGCACUGUCGCAUUAAAUCGUAAAAUAUCAGAACUUAUAAACGCUGAAGGUGAAUGCAUAUCGAAACGCGUUUUAUUUACUUGUUUUAUUUCGCGCCGGAUGCCGAUCGCUGUUGCUAUGGUAACGUGGCCAGGCCGCACUGAGCUCAAGUCCCUCUGAACGUCUUACCUGAUACACGCAGGCUUUAUAUUGAGUAAAGUGACCCCUAAGAUUGAGUUCUGAUCUGGAAACAUCCGUCGUGAAGUUCAAGCGCGUGCUCGUGGGGCGUGUCAACGCAACUUAUUCAAGUGUCUGCAGCUCCUUCCUAAUACUUCACGUUGUGCUCGAAUGCAUUCACAUCACACACUGCAGAUGUGUAUUUUUAAAAGUUCAAUGUUCGGGUGAAAUAUCAGAAAAGCAGAGAAUCCUUUAAUGGCACAAACCCUUGGAGAUGUAAAGAACGCGCUCCAGUAAGUUGCUCUCUUUGUUGUUAUUUAGUUGUAUGUAGAGGGCGGGACUCGAACUGAAAUGAACAAGGCGCGGCCAAGAACCCCCUUCACACGUGUAGACAAAGGGACCAUCAACACGACCCAAACACGCAGAGGAAAAGUUUUCCCGCGCGCUUCCUCGCGCCCGGACCUCGCGAGGAUCUCAGGUGAGCUUUCGGCACGCGCUCAGGUUGAAGUCGCCUCGCGCUCGAAUCCGUUUCGCCGCGAAUUCCGUCUCAAAAAGUUCUCGAAGAGUUUGCGCGUCAGCUCUCAAAGUUGAGCACAAAGCAGAGGAGCGGUCCUUUGUUCAGCGCGACUCGAGAUGCUCGAACUAGAGAUGAAGAUGAACUAGGAAGAAAGUGGACGGCGAACACCACAGGAUGCAUUUCGGAGAAACUAAAAACCGCAGACUUAUUUUCCACUUUUGGCUCACGAGGGACCGAGGAUGACGCAGGAAGACAAAGCUGUCAAAAGUUGAUCGGAGAAGGAAGUUGACCGAAAAUUACGACCGACAAGUCUUUUACAAUUAAUCCUAAACGAAAGACGAGUUUGUUUGAGCAGAAGCUCCGGGCAUCGAUCUGUUUAAUCUUCCGGAGGAUGUAGCCUUGAUGAAUGAACACAAACUGAAGAAUUCAGCAGACUCCUGCUUUUAAAGCCGUGUUUUUGCUGCUCGGUGGACGAAUACUGAUGAGACUGUGUGAAGAGCAACAGGUUCGUCGAGCAGCCCUUUGUUACAGAACUUAGAAAGGCACGAUGGAGUUUCUUUGUUCUGCAGACCGUGAGGAACCUCCACACACACGAUCUCCUAGAAGACCUCAUACCCCGGAGGAUCCAGCUGACUUUUUAAAAAGUUUGCUAAGAAAAGACCAAAAAAUGUACGAAUUCAUCAUAUGAGGCCAGCAGACACAGGACCUCCAGGACCGGGGGACUUCUGUUUUUAAGGACGCCCUUUGAAGGAUUUAUUUAACUGAUAUUUUCUUUGUGGAAUAUGAUUACUUUCCUUCGGGAUUAUUGGACUGUUCCUGUUCAUCGUCUAGUCGCGGCGGACAAAACAAAGUGAUGGUGAGUUUGUCAGAGACUCUGGAGAUGGACUUAAAGCUGCUGAGGUCAAGCGAUCGCUGAAGUCAUGACGACUGGUCAGCGUGGGACUUUUCUCGCAGUUAUGCAACACAAACACGCUGCUGAUGAACCCAGCGAGGCAGGCCUGUCAGCAGUCGCAGGUUAGCGCUUUUUGCAUUUCAGCAACUUUGACAUCUGUUUCGCACCUAGAUCUCUCGUGCUUCACAAACGCCAGCUCGCGGUGUUAGGACGUCCUGUGGAGUCUGGCUGCGGCUGGAUCCCGGCCCAGGCUCCUCUCACCCUCGCUGAGCGCUGCCUGGCAAGACACCGAGAGAUGCUGUACGUGUCUGAUGACAGGACGUCUGCGAACGCUUGCCAAACGCGCUCUUUCUUGGCCUGCGGAGACUGUCGAAACAGGGCUGUCCUCGUGGGUUAAAAGUGAGCGGAUUUGCACACAUCCAUCUCGAUCUGUAGAGGAUGGGGAGCACGGACAGGUAGACGCUCUGGAGUUUCGGCCUGAAAUAACCCAUCAGCCUGCUCCAAUGAAACAGAUCCCCAGACAGCUCUGUGGACGUCCGUGGCUUAUCAACAAAGACUCUCGCUGGCCUGGAGAAAGAGUUGAAAGCAGCGCCGAGGCUCUUUAAAGUUGAUCUCCUCAGAUAUCGUAUCAAGGCAGGAGUGUAUGUGUUUAGUGCAUGCGGCGAGAGAAGAAUCGCUCCGUUUCAGGUAAAAUCACGGUAAUAAAGUAGAAUGACCUCUGGAGCUGAACGCUCAGGGAACACAUUUCAACCCAUGACCUUCUCAAAACAGUAUUGUUGUAUUUUGAAGAGCUGCUAUGCUCUGUGAAGCUCCAACAAAACCGGUUCAUUGCAAUGAUGCCCAACGUCCUAGGGUGUGUUUACAUGUAUUCACACUGGUUGCUGUGUAAUUGAGACACUGAUACACCCUUUUUGACAAAAACCUUAAAAUGCAAAAAAGAUCACAAGAAUACGAUCACAACUUCUUUGGUGUAUAUUUUGUGGUAGAACUUACUGAACAUCUAAAUUCACUCAUUUGUAUGUGCUGUUAAUAACAGUAACUGACUGUACUGUUAAUCUACAGCUCUUCAUUUUUACAGCAUGUUACUGUUAUACUAGAAUAUAAGGAAAUGAGCUCUGCUCUAAUCACUUCAAACUGUUCGAGGUUACUAGUAUUCAUACAGUGAUAGUAAUGUGAACUGAUUCGAGUCCACUGAGAAUAAAUGUGUCUUAGUACAAAACAGCAAAUAUUUUAAAUGAAUGCAAAUAUUUAAAUAUCUUUAACUCAAAUUGCUAUAACACACAUGCAUGUGCUGAAACACGUAAAAAGAUCAUCACUACUUCAAGUCUUUAAAUGAAGAUCAGAUCUCUCCUGAGCAAAAACACAGUAAUACAGUUAAAUACAGUAGUUACUCUCAAUUUCACUUCAUGACUUUGCAGCUGUUUCUGUGGACUUCACUUAUAUUUCAGUAAAAAACACUCUUUUGGUUAAUCUGAAAGUUACAUUUUACAGUAAUUCAUUGAAUUAAGAUGAUUUUACUGUCUUUCUACAGGUUCUUGCCGUGAAAUAAUUACAGUUUAUUGCUGUUGAAUUUCAAGCGUUUACAUCUAACCCUUUAAACUACAUCCUCAUGAACACUAAUGUGCACACUACAGAGUAACACUGAAUCAGUGAAGGUAAUGAGAUGAGAUUCAUUAAUCAUUAAGACAGUGAUGAACUGUUAACAAGCAGAAUCACGAAAGAAAAGAGAAACAAAAUAAAACUGAACUGAAUUAAAGACAUUAAAUCUGAUUAAACUUCACACAAACCAGACUGAUGAUAUUUCUGUCAGGCGUGACAGAAGUGCUUUUUGACAGAGCUUCAAGUUUUCAGGCAUUUGGCUGCAGUUAAAUAAUACAUGCACGUUUGAAAAGGUCCUGCAAUCUCUUGAUGUGUAAAGACUGUGUGUGUGAAAGGGGCUUGAAUUUCUUAACGUUCAUCGGAGAAAACUGUGUAUAUUACCUCACUAGAUUUGCAGCGUAAAGCGUUUCUUAACCGUUGCCAACACAGCAGAAUGCAUCAACCUACUCCUACUCCACUUAAUAUAUCCCAUUUAUUGUUCAUCGUGAUUUUAAAAUACGUUUUUGGGUUUGCAUAAUGAAAUGCUAACGAAGAUUUACUAACGAGUUUUCCUGAAAGGAAUGUGCUUCACAACAGAAUUACAACAAGCAGAAGAAAACCAGGCGUUAGAAAGAGCCCACCUCAAUCAAACACUGAUCACCACAAAGAUGAGGUCAAGCCCAAGGCCUUUUUCUGUUUUCACUCAUUAGUGUUCACUGUCUCUGUCGGGUGGACUGUGUUAGUAAGACCUGUUUGGAAGUAGACCUGAGACACCGUGAUCUGGUGAUGACUGAGCGCCGUGUUUCACUUUAUCUGCUUCCAAAUGAACAUUUCAACAAAACCCGCUAAGUGUGAGUGUGCUCAAAGCGUGCUUCUCUUUUCACGUGUACACUAGUAUACAUGCAUACAGUGAGAUGACACACAUCUCAUCAUCGGUGCAGGAGACACACCACCAGAUUUGUUUCACACUUGUGCAGAGCAUUUGAUAAAUAUCCCAAACUAAAGAGCAUCUUCAUGGCAUAUGCUUAAUGAUGGCUUUUUAAAACAUAUUAGCAGCUAUAAAAGAGUUUUGAGUGAAGUAUUCCUUCAACGGUUUUGGGAUAUUUCCACAGAAUAAACCCUUCAGAAUCUGAAAAUGAUGAAGAGGCUCCUAUUUCAACGGUCUGUAACUUAUACUUUAUAGUAAUUUUUUGACGUUUUUUUUACGACAAUGCCAUGUAAGAACCAUUUUUGUUUCCGCAAAGAACCACUUAGUGAAAGGUACUUUACAGAAGCAUCUCUUUCUUACCUUUUAUCUAAAGAACCUGCUUUUGUGAAACAGAAAGGUUCUGUUUAUUCAUGAUCUUUAUGUCCGUGAGUGAAGGGUGAAGUUUUGUGAAUGAAAGCGUCAGCUCCUUCCAGGCUCUGUGGCCCUUGUUUGCUUUCCUCUCACUCAUUAACCUUUCCUAAUGCCCUGCAUGUAUUAAUAAUGAUCUGAGGAAAAGGUCAACGCAUCCCAGCAUGCCUUGCAGCAGCAGCAGCACACCGAGUCCCAGCGUUUUCCUCCGGACACCGAGCGCUCGUUACGGGGUGUUUGUGCCGAAGAGAAGACACGGUGAUGUACAGCCGUGUUUGAGUGAGACCCGUGUGUAAAUACAUCUGAUUGGUCUGGGAUUCAGACGGUCAGCGAGAGUCCUGCUCCGAACACAACGUGCUCCAUCAGGUCAGGCGUCUCUGUCUCUGCCGUGGGAAUAUAAGCGUGGACAAAGUGGAAACUCUCAUCAUUUAGACUUUGUCAUUCCAGACCCAUUUUAUAGGUGGGACACAACAGCAGAAUAAUAUUUUUAGCAUGUCACUAAACAGGAGCGUGACUGUACACUACAAGAUAUGAGUUUAUAUGUAAAUGAGUGAUUUGUGACAUAUUCUGAUAAUUAAAAGUAGCCAUAUAAUGUGAAUUAUGAAUAACAAAAAUGCAUGGCAAUUACAGUAAAAUGAACACUUUUAAUUUAUAUAGUUUAAACCCACUUCAUUUUGUUCACUUCUAAACAGUGAUUCUUUACAUCUUGAAAAACACAAAAACUGCUUAAAUGUGCACUUAUGAUAUUUUGUAUAUGCUGCUGGUUAAUAUGACAGGUGUUUUAGCUUCAUAAUGACGUCUACUGCUCUACAAAACAAGAAACAAGCAGACAAACGGGGACACUUUUACAUUUUUAUCUGGUGAUAGUGAAAGAAGACAAGCGUAGCGUAACCUUUAAGUGACUCUGUGUGUGUUUUUUACCCAGCGAAGCUCAUUAAACCCUCACGACAGAAUCAACUACAAAUUAUCUUACAAUUACCUUUCAACAAGAAUUUAUGCGUUUGUAACGUUUUGCAACUUGCUCUUGUAGAAGACAAAGUUUUUCUUUUUUAAAUGUAAUAAUUGUUUUUCAUAUUCAUAUUAUUUUUGGUAUAUUUGUUAAGCACAUGUUUAUAUGUCUUAUUAUUAGUAUGUAUUUUACCGGUGCUGGCAGUGAACUCUUAUUAUUUGGAAAAGAGUAGUUUUGAGUUCAGUGGAAGUCAUCACACUGGAAAGACAAGGAAGCGGAUCAAACACGACAAAGAGAUUGCCUUGUAUGCCAUUCACGUAGGGUUUUUCUUGACAAGCUCUGAUAGUAAAGCGUCUGUCCGUCUCUCUUGACAUUUAUUAAUGCUAUGCGGUUCAGCCAGUAUUGUGACGGUAUGCAUUACCUCUCAGCUACUGCUAACGGCGCUUCAGAGGCUCCUCAAACCGAUACGAAGCAGGAAAACCGGUGAGACGGGAAACUCUCGUAGCACUUUCUUCUAUCACAAUAUGGAUUUCAGUUCGUCAACAGCUUGUUAUCUCUCUAUCCGGCUCCUGCUUUGAGAGUGUAAUAAGCGCAGCGUUCUGCCAGAUCCGUGUACCGUAACGAGAUGAGGGAACCUUAUAUCAGAUGACACUCAAAUCUGAUUAGUCCAGUUGAUGGAAAAUGAUUGCUCUCACUUAUUGUAGGUGCGUCUCUUAAUUUGUUUGUGCAAUCUUGACUCCUAACACAAUAUAAACAACGCGAGGCGAGCGAUCACAUUAGGUGAAGCAAUUUACACCAGACACAAGGUUUUUCUUGGCUAAUAAAGCGUUUGAGCGGGGAUGGGAGCGCUGCAGUGUGUGGUGUCCAGAAGACACGUCCUGAACGAGCUGGAGGUCAGACCUCAGGACCUCCGUCAGGAACAGCUCAUACAGCAUACUGUGCACUAAAAAUCUUUACUUGAUUGCAGCUUCACAAAUACCAGCCAAAACCAAGAUUGAAUAAUGUCUGUUUAACAAGUGAACACAGUAAAACACACUGACAUGAUUUAACAUGAGCCGCUGGGUGAACUCAUUUCAGGUUGGGGCAUUUAGUCACAUUUAGGGUACAGGAUGUUGAAUGUGGAUUCAGAUCAGAAGAAGGCUGUUUUUAAUCCUGUUUUCAUUCUUUUUUCUGUAUUUCUAAAGCACUUUCAACACCUUCAAAUCCCGGUUGACUCUACAAUACAUGUACAGCAUACAUACACACAACUAAAAUCAGGCAAACUGAAUUAUUAUGAAUAAUUUGAAUUAUUGGAUUCUAAAGUAAAUAAUGUGAGAGCUAGCCCCCGUCUCUCCUAACUCAAAGCAGCAUCAUCAGUGUGAUGAAGGCCCGAGCACGUUUUGGGUGUUUGUGAAUGCGUCUGCUGUAUUGUCUCAGACCGUGACUGGUUUCUGUGCCGUAGAUGACGUCUGUCAGCAGCUUUAUCUCACACUGCUCAGUUUCAGCGGGCCCCUCUGCUCGGGUCUGGGGUGUCUCUCCACACUGUCAUGAUGAGGUGUGUAUCGUCUGGCAGUGAUUGAUGUGUGAGACACCAGGACUGUGUGAAAACGCUCUCAUGAAAUACGAGCGCACCCGAUCACGUUAGCUCCAGGUGACUUCAGGACACGAGCUCAGCCUGGGGUUCUCCGUUCUCAGCUUUAAACAGGAACAGCUCAGUACAGUGACGCAGCACAUCAGUGUCUAAACAGCGUGAUGGUCUUCUGAGUAGAUCAGCUUGGUUUACAGUAAUUCUGUUCACAAGCGCUCUGUUUCUGUCUGAACGUCUCUCUCGAAUAAGCAGCUCCUCCUGCAUGCGGGGAUCGGUAGCACAGUUACAUCUCUGUCCUCUGCUGGCGGGAAUACAUGAAUGCUAAAUGACUUCAGUGCAAGAAAACAGAAUUAUAAGUAUAUAAUUUAAUAAGUAUGGAUUAAGUAUGGAUUAAUCUCUAUGCAGUUUUCUGUUUUCAAUUUCUGUUGCAUUCAACGUAUAUGUGUUUAUUAUAUAUCAUAUAAUAUAUCAUAAAAUAAAAUGACAUAUAGUAACAUAAAAAAAAUGGUCAAUGUUACCAACACGUUUCUGAUAUUUUUAUAGCAUUUAUUUAAUACAUGGUCAGAGUUGCUCAAAUCCGUCACGGAGCUCCUCGGGGCAGUACUGACCGUGUGCUCUGAAGACAGGAGAACUCAGCACAGAACGAUUCAUGUCCGUGUGAAGAAUCAGAGCGGUGCGCUCAGCUGUCGUCUCAAUCACCUUUCAUUUCCAUCGCCAGCGGCCCGUGCAUGUUUUUAUUGUUGAGAUGGGAUGGCCUGCUGUCAGUACAUUUGAAUAUUGAAUCUUGAUAACCGUUCUGAAAUUGAAAUUGCAUACAAUGUCCUGCCCUCAAAAAACCUUAUCAUGACAAAAUGUGACUACAUUAGGAUAUCCAGCCAAAUAUAUGAGCCAAACGUUUACGACAUGGGGAAUGGAAUCAAAUCAUAGUGUCCAUCUCGUCUUUAAUGCACACCGAGGUUGUUGUGCGCAGCACCGGGGAAGGCUUCAUGUCCUUUAGGCCUCCGCUGUUCGUCUUUUCCUGCUGAGUAAUCAGAGACGUACCGGCCACAGCUCUGACCCGCAGCUGAACCUGUGCGCCUGACAGACAUUAGUAACACAAGCUUUCAUUUGAGGCUUUAAAUGUGUUUCUUUCCAGGCCACAAAUGGAUCGUCCUGCAGGAUCGACUGAGGUUUGAAGGGAAUAGAUCAGGGAGCGAGAUCUUUACGUGCUCCUUCUGCGUCUGUGAUUGUUGACCUCGCGUGGAGGAAGAGGUCAUUGAGAGGAACGCCAAAGAUCUUGUGCCGGAAGCUUUGAGGAUAGCUGCGUGUCGGGCCGGCCGUCUCUGUGUGUCAGCAGAAUGUGUGGAGAGGUUGUGUCCUGUUCGUGUCGGAGCUGUGCGUAUGUGAACGCCUUCACGCGGAGCGUCGGCCAAGUUUCCUUGCCCAGUAGAUCAGGGCUGGCAUGCCGGCGAGGGCUCUGGAAGGUCAUUCGUUCUGACUUCAGCCGUGCCAGAGAGACGCUGCCAAGCCUGGCCGAUGCACUCUCAGCACAACUCAGUGGCGAACCCUUCCCACCGCAAGCUAGCAUGCUACGGUGCGCUCGCCCUGUGGAGAAAAGGAGGUUGACGGCGUAACCGAAGCCCACCGCACAGAGGAUGCGCUCGGUUCAGCGCUGGGUUAGGCCCACAAGCCCCCACAGAUCAAAGCCUGCGCCCCGUUCACCUCGCAGAGAAAUCAGCAGCGGGCCCCGAGCAGAGCCCUGGUGAACACCUUUGGCUCCGGACAGCCGUUAUGAUUGGCCGCGGCUCAAGCGAGGUCAGCAGGAGAGGAGGCUGAGAGCAGGUCUGUGUGUCAUUUGGCUCAACUACCAGCCGAGUCCAGAUUUCAAGGAUGCAUGCAUGUGUGUGUUAAUGUGUGCUUUCUGCUCGGACGCUGUAGAGGAAGGAUCUCAGCGCUGUGCGGCGGAGCGCUGCAGGGAGGACAUAUUUUUGUUGGCCAACGCACAGAAACAAAUUAUCAACAAAUAUUAACAAAUUUGAACGCUUUCAUUUCCGUCAUUCAGAAUUCAAGUUUUAUUGGUCUCAUACAUACACAGGAGGAAAUAGAGUCAAAGGCUUAAUGUGUAAUACAAUGAAAUGACAGAAUAAAACGUUUUUAUAUAAUUUAACAUUAAAAUAAAAUACAGUACAAAAAAGUGUAAGGUUUAUGGCACGUUUUCUUACAGGAUUACGAGCCGUGUGCGUGCGGUGGGGUCUGUUCAAUUUGAGUGUGUUUUGUUGUUGUUGUUUUUGAAGCUUAACGUUGGUGAUGGAGAAGUCAUGUGACCAUGUAGUUCAUUUAUAGCCUAUUUUUUUUUACUUUGCUGCCAGGCUACAAAAUUUAUUAAAGCAGUGUUCAUGAAGCCAGUGGAAAAAUCUUUUUUUUUUUUUUUUUUUGAGGGAAACAGCUUGAACAACAAAAGAAUCACAUUCAUCAAUAUUUGCCGAAAGAAGCCCCUUGCGAACAUGAUUCAAAGACAUUAGCCAACAUUUCAGUAAGUGCUACAUACAAGGAAGCAGUGCAUUAUUCAUUGUUAAAUAAUUGAUCACGCUAAAUGAGUGUGUUAAACGGGCAGCUCUUGUUUGUAUAUCACAAUGUGAGAGCGUUUACGAAGGACACACCUGAGCUUGACUAUCCUCAGGCACUGGUAAUAAUAAACUCUUGUUAUGAUGGUGCUCUGUUCUCAUCGAGAGGCAAAUGUUAAUGAGACACAGCUGAACAGACCCCACCGCACACACACACACACACACACGGCUCGUAAUCCAGCCCUGGCUUAUAAACACGGCUGGCAGCUCCUGCGCCGUCACCUGGGUGGCCGACCGGUCAGUCUGUGAGAGCGCUUGGAAAGUAAAAGAGCUCCGCUGUUGUUCUUGGUUCUGGCCGCACGCACGCACACACACACACACACACACACACACACACACACACACACACACACACACACACACACACACACACACACACAC